rnacentral:tRNA from 2 species
CAAAGAGUAGUUUAGGUAGAAUACUAGCUUUGGGAGUUAGUGGUAGGGGUUAAAAUCCCUUCUUUUUGA